GUCACAUCCGAACACUUUGUGGGGAUGGGAUAUUCAGGGAAGAAUUUGGCUAGAAUUUCAACGAUGUCACCACGAUGAAGCACACUCUCAGCACAGAGGUAACGUCCUGAUGCUGAAGGAGUUUCAUAGAGAAGUAUGUGAGCUAAAGCCACAUCCUUAACAUGUACAUAUGCUUGAACUGAAUUAGCAUAUGUUUUAGCUGAGCCAGUAAGGUACUUGAGGAUAUGAAGAACACUAGCAUUCACAGUAUUUUGUAGCAAUGGUCCAAGCACCAACACUGGAUUUAUCGCGACUAAAUCAACUCCUUUCUCCCUCGCCUCAUCCCACGCUGCUUGUUCUGCCACCAUCUUACCAUAACAAUACCAAUUCUUAGUGUUCUUGCAAAAAUCAGGAUCGCUCCAGCAAGUCUCGUCAACCACUUUUUCAGGGUCUCUGCUUGGGUCCAUGUACACAGCUCCAAUUGAGGAAGUAAACA
rnacentral:misc_RNA from 1 species